GGGAGGGGGUGACUAGUGACAGAGUGAGAGAGAGGGUGACACAGUGACAGAGUGAGGGAGGGGGUGACUAGUGACAGAGUGAAGGAGGUGGUGACUGUCACUAGUCACCCCCUCCCUCUCUCUGUCACUAGUGACACCCUCCCUCACUCUGUCACUAGUGACACCCUCCCUCACUCUGUCACUAGUGACACCCUCCCUCACUCUGUCACUAGUCACCCCCUCCCUCUC